GCAUUAAUGGGGUAGUGGUAACCUCGAUCGUUGCCAUCUAACAACGUUUGAUAAAUUCGAUCGGCCCCCGGUUCAAUUCCGGGUUAAUGCA